rnacentral:rRNA from 1 species
CCAGACUCCUACGGGAGGCAGCAGUAGGGAAUUUUGCGCAAUGGGGGAAACCCUGACGCAGCAACGCCGCGUGAUUGAUGAAGCCCUUCGGGGUGUAAAGAUCUGUCAGUGGGGACGAAACUUGACGGUACCCACAGAGGAAGCAUCGGCUAACUCCGUGCCAGCAGCCGCGGUAAUACGGAGGAUGCGAGCGUUAUCCGGAUUUAUUGGGUUUAAAGGGUGCGCAGGCGGUCUGUUAAGUCAGCGGUCAAAGGCGGGGGCCCCCCCCCCGGCCCGCCGUUGAAACUGGCAGUCUCGAGUUGGAGAGAAGUAUGCGGAAUGCGCGGUGUAGCGGUGAAAUGCAUAGAUAUCGCGCAGAACUCCGAUUGCGAAGGCAGCAUGCCGGCUCCACACUGACGCUGAGGCACGAAAGCGUGGGUAUCGAACAGGAUUAGAUACCCGAGUACCU